GGGAUUGCCCUAGUAACGGCGAGUGAAGCGGCAACAGCUCAAAUUUGAAAUCUGGCGCAAGCCCGAGUUGUAAUUUGUAGAGGAUGCUUCUAGGUAGCGACCGGUCUAAGUUCCUUGGAACAGGACGUCAUAGAGGGUGAGAAUCCCGUAUGUGACUGGCCCGCACCUUCUACGUAGCUCCUUCGACGAGUCGAGUUGUUUGGGAAUGCAGCUCUAAAUGGGAGGUAAAUUUCUUCUAAAGCUAAAUACCGGCCAGAGACCGAUAGCGCACAAGUAGAGUGAUCGAAAGAUGAAAAGCACUUUGGAAAGAGAGUUAAAAAGCACGUGAAAUUGUUGAAAGGGAAGCGCUCACAACCAGACUUCUAGGCAGUGUUCCGCCGGUCUUUUGACCGGUCUACUCUCUGUCUCGAGGCCAACAUCAUCUGGGACCGCUGGAUAAGACCUUAGGAAUGUAGCUCCCCUCGGGGAGUGUUAUAGCCUCUGGUGAUGCAGCGAGUCUCGGGUGAGGUCCGCGCUUCGGCAAGGAUGUUGGCGUAAUGGUUGUCAGCGGCCCGUCUUGAAACACGGACCAAGGAGUCUAACAUCUAUGCGAGUGUUCGGGUGUCAAACCCCUACGCGUAAUGAAAGUGAACGGAGGUGGGAAGCGUAAGCUGCACCAUCGACCGAUCCUGAUGUCCUCGGAUGGAUUUGAGUAAGAGCAUAGCUGUUGGGACCCGAAAGAUGGUGAACUAUGCCUGAAUAGGGUGAAGCCAGAGGAAACUCUGGUGGAGGCUCGCAGCGGUUCUGACGUGCAAAUCGAUCGUCAAAUUUGGGUAUAGGGGCGAAAGACUAAUCGAACCAUCUAGUAGCUGGUCUGC
rnacentral:rRNA from 1 species